rnacentral:rRNA from 1 species
CCUACGGGUGGCAGCAGUGGGGAAUAUUGCACAAUGGGGGAAACCCUGAUGCAGCGACGCCGCGUGAGCGAAGAAGUAUUUCGGUAUGUAAAGCUCUAUCAGCAGGGAAGAAAAUGACGGUACCUGAGUACGAAGCUCCGGCUAAAUACGUGCCAGCAGCCGCGGUAAUCCGGAGGAUGCGCGCGUUAUCCGGAUUUAUUGGGUUUAAAGGGUGCGUAGGCGGAUUUUUAAGUCAGCGGUUAAAUCGUGGGGCUCAACCCCAUCCAGCCGUUGAAACUGGGGAUCUAGAGUGUGCGAGAGGUAUGCGGAAUGCGUGGUGUAGCGGUGACAUGCAUAGAUAUCACGCAGAACCCCGAUUGCGAAGGCAGCAUACCGGUGCACAACUGACGCUCAGGCACGAAAGCGUGGGUAUCGAACAGGAUUAGAUACCCGUGUAGUC